rnacentral:rRNA from 1 species
UACGGAGGGUGCAAGCGUUAUCCGGAUUCACUGGGUUUAAAGGGUGCGUAGGUGGGCAGGUAAGUCAGUGGUGAAAUCUCCGGGCUUAACUCGGAAACUGCCAUUGAUACUAUCUUUCUUGAAUACCGUGGAGGUCAGCGGAAUAUGUCAUGUAGCGGUGAAAUGCUUAGUUAUGACAUAGAACACCAAUUGCGAAGGCAGCUGGCUACACGAAUAUUGACACUGAUGCACGAAAGCGUGGGGAUCAAACAGG